rnacentral:lncRNA from 1 species
GCUCUCUUGCUUCUUGCUCUCUCUUGCUUCUUACACUCUGGCCCCAUAAGAUGUAAGCAAUAAAGCUUUGCCGCAGAAGAUUCUGGUCUGUGGUGUUCUUCCUGGCCGGUCGUGAGAACGCGACGAAUAACAAUUGGUGCCGAAUUCCGGGACGAGAAAAUCCGGGACGAGAAAAAACUCCGGACUGGCGCAGGAGGGAUACUUCAUUCCAGAACCAGAACUGCGAAUCAAGGUUAUAAGGUUCCCGUAACACAGACUGUUGAGAAGGAUUCAACUGCCGAAUUCAGAACUCAUCAGCUGGGGAACGACGGUGAUAAAGGUUCCCGUAAAGCAGACUGUUAAGAAGGAUUCAACUGUAUGAAUUCAGAACUUUUCAGCUGGGGAACGAGAGUACCAGUGAGUAUGUUUGGCCUUGAAUUUUUUCUGGUGUUAGGAGCCCUUUUGUUCUUUUUCACAUGCUAUCAAGUGAUUAAGAUAGGGCUGAAAAUUCUAGAGGAAAUUCAGGACAAGCUAUCAGAAGUAAAGCGGGGAGAGAGAGUAGGAACAAAGAGGAAGUAUGGUACACAAAAUAAGUAUACAGGCCUUUCCAAGGGUCUUGAACCCGAGGAAAAGUUAAGGUUAGGUAGGAAUACCUGGAGAGAGAUUAG